GUGCUACUCCCUCCGUCCGGAAAUACUUGUCAUCAAAAUAAAUAAAAGAGGAUGUAUCUAGACGUAUUUUAGUUCUAGAUACAUUUUUUUUGUCCAUUUUGAUAACAAGUAUUUUCGGACGGAGGGAGUACUAG
rnacentral:pre_miRNA from 1 species